ensembl:miRNA pma-mir-551 pma-mir-551
AUGCCUCCGAAAUCAAGUGUGGGUAUGACCUUGUUGUUUUAAUCCUAGGCGACCCAUACUUGGUUUCAAAGGACU